UCCGGUUUGUCACCGGCAGUCUCGCAUGAGUCCCCAACUAAAUGCUGGCAACAUCGAACGAGGGUUGCGCUCGUUGCGGGACUUAACCCAACAUCUCACGACACGAGCUGACGACAACCAUGCACCACCUGUAAACCAGCCCCGAAGGGAAACCGCAUUUCUGCGGCGGUCCGGUCCAUGUCAAGCCUUGGUAAGGUUCUUCGCGUUGCAUCGAAUUAAUCCGCAUGCUCCGCCGCUUGUGCGGGCCCCCGUCAAUUUCUUUGAGUUUUAGCCUUGCGGUCGUACUUCCCAGGUGGGAUACUUAAUGCUUUCGCUCAGACACACACAGUGUAUCGCGUAUGUCGAGUAUCCAUAGUUUAGGGCGUGGACUAC
rnacentral:misc_RNA from 1 species